rnacentral:misc_RNA from 1 species
AACGCAUAUUGCACUCUUUGGUAUUCCGAGGAGUAUGCUUGUUUCAGUAUCAUGAAAAUCUCAUAAAUAAAACAUUUUUUUGUUUAAAUUUGUGGACUUGGAUUUGCGAUUCUAUAAAAAUUGCUAAUUUAAAAUGAAUUUCAUGAAGCUUACACGCUUUGUUCCUUUGCUUAAUAGUUUUGCUUUGUCAAAUCUUUUGCAAUUGUUUCAAAUGCAACAAAAAGUGAAUUGAUUUUUUACGAAAUCAUAUAUACCUCAUUUUUUGAUCUGAAAUCAAGUAGGAUUACCCGCUGAACUUAA